UGCUAAUGAGAAUUGUUUCAGACAUCUUGGAUCUCAAUUGUCUGACUUGAUUUCUUUGACUAGCAUGGUAAAUUCCUUGGAAUGAUGUUUGGAUAGACUGGUAACCAUGGUACCUGUGACAGUAAUAAAGCCCAGGAUGGUAAUUGAUGGCUUUCCAUUGCCUACCUGGCUAAUUACUUAAUGCAUCAAACAGUCCUAGCAGGUCAGUCAGUAACAGUAAAGAGAAGGAAACACAUCAGAGAAGUUGACUGCACAAGGCUGAAUCAUGAGUCAGCGAUGGAGCUGGAAGGAAGGAAAAAGAAGCAGAGGGAGCAGCAGGUUCUGGCUUUAUACCAGGAAAGCAAGAAAAACCAACGCCUCUGACAUCAUCAAUCAUCAAGAUGAGAGUUCACAUUUAUGGAGGGUAUGUAAUGGGGAGACUGACUAAUGAGGGCACAGUCCUUGGAAAAUGCUCCAUUUGCCUUUCCUGGGGGGCAAAGAGGAUUUACAACAAUGGCUGGCUGCCUAUGGUUCAGUCGACUGCUUGGAAAGCCUCUUUCUAGAGAUGUGUGAUGGAGCGGCUGGUACUGUGCGAUAAUGAAGUCUUCUAAUUGACUGAGGAGUAAAAAGGACCAAGGACUCAGCAAGUGCCAACCCAGAACUAAACCCUAUACAAAAAAGAAUGACCCUCCACUAGCUCACUCUCCUUUGUUUCCUGACAAGUGUCAAAGAACUGCUAUGAGCUGCUGGGUGGAUGGAAAGGAGGCUGCCCUAUCUCCCACUUAGGUACCAUGUGCUUGUGAGUUCAUGGUGUCUCUGUUGCUUUGAUGUUUGUUUGUUUUUUCUCAAAACUUUUGUCUUAUAAUUAACAGUAUGCAUUGGCUCCAAGUCAGAAAUAAUGCAAGGUAAGAGAAUUAAAAAUAUGAGUCUAUAUAGUUUUAGAAUAGAUGGCACCUAAACUUUCUCUCUUAUUUUUAAACCCUCACCUUCUGUCUUAGAAUCAAUACUGUGUAUUGGUUCCAAGGCAGAAGGGCAGUAAUGGUUAGGCAAUGGAGGUUAAGUGACUUGUCCAGGGUCACCCAUCUAGGAAGUGUCUGAGGUCAUAUUUGAACCCAGGACCUCCUGUCUCCAGGCCUAGUUCUCAAUCCACUGAGCCACCUGGCUGCACUGUUGCCCCCAUUCAUAUUUUUUUUUGGUAAAUAUACAUCCAUUUUACUUAGAUUGUCAGAUUUAUUGGUAUAUAAUUGGGCAAAAUAGCUCCUAAUGAUUGUUUUAAUUUCCUCUUCAUUGGGUAGUGAAUUCACCCUUUUCAUUUUUGAUACUGAUUAUUUGGUUUUCUUCUUUUUCUUUUUUAAAUCAAAUUAACCCAUUUGGGUUUUUAAUA
rnacentral:lncRNA from 1 species